rnacentral:rRNA from 1 species
UCGAGCGGUACAGGAGAAGCUUGCUUCUCGCUGACGAGCGGCGGACGGGUGAGUAAUACUUAGGAAUCUACCUAGUAGUGGGGGAUAGCUCGGGGAAACUCGAAUUAAUACCGCAUACGACCUACGGGAGAAAGGGGGCAACUUGUUGCUCUCGCUAUUAGAUGAGCCUAAGUCGGAUUAGCUAGAUGGUGGGGUAAAGGCCUACCAUGGCGACGAUCUGUAGCUGGUCUGAGAGGAUGAUCAGCCACACCGGGACUGAGACACGGCCCGGACUCCUACGGGAGGCAGCAGUGGGGAAUAUUGGACAAUGGGGGCAACCCUGAUCCAGCCAUGCCGCGUGUGUGAAGAAGGCCUUUUGGUUGUAAAGCACUUUAAGCAGUGAAGAAGACUCCAUGGUUAAUACCCAUGGACGAUGACAUUAGCUGCAGAAUAAGCACCGGCUAACUCUGUGCCAGCAGCCGCGGUAAUACAGAGGGUGCAAGCGUUAAUCGGAAUUACUGGGCGUAAAGCGAGCGUACGUGGCUUGAUAAGUCAGAUGUGAAAGCCCCGGGCUUAACCCUGGGAACGGCAUCUGAUACUGUUAGGCUAGAGUAGGUGAGAGGAAGGUAGAAAUUCCAGGUGUAGCGGUGAAAUGCGUACAGAUCUGGAGGAAUACCCGAUGGCGAAGGCAGCCUUUCUG